GGGAAUCUACCCUGAACUGCGGAAUAGCUCCGGGAAACUGGAAUUAAUACCGCAUGUGCCCUGAGGGGCAAAGAUUUAUCGGUUCAGGAUGAGCCCGCGUCCGAUUAGCUAGUUGGUGGGGUAAAGGCCUACCAAGGCGACGAUCGGUAGCUGGUCUAAGAGGAUGAUCAGCCACAUUGGGACUGAGACACGGCCCAAACUCCUACGGGAGGCAGCAGUGGGGAAUAUUGGACAAUGGGCGCAAGCCUGAUCCAGCCAUGCCGCGUGAGUGAUGAAGGCCCUAGGGUUGUAAAGCUCCUUCAGUGGGGACGAUAAUGACGGUACCCACAGAAGAAGCCCCGGCUAACUUCGUGCCAGCAGCCGCGGUAAUACGAAGGGGGCUAGCGUUGUUCGGAAUUACUGGGCGUAAAGCGCACGUAGGCGGACAUUUAAGUCAGGGGUGAAAUCCCGGGGCUCAACCCCGGAACUGCCUUUGAUACUGGGUGUCUUGAGUUCGGAAGAGGUGAGUGGAAUUGCGAGU
rnacentral:rRNA from 1 species